rnacentral:tRNA from 1 species
UCCCUGGUGGUCCAUUGGCUAAGACUCUGCACUCCCAAUGCAGGGGGCCCAGGUUCAAUCCUGUUUGGGAA